ensembl:lncRNA
CCAUGGUUCAACCGCAGGACAACUUGAUGAUGACUCAGUCCUCAAGGCUCUAUUGGUUUGAAUCUCUCAAGCCUGAAAACUGUGGCACUUUGCUCUCUCAAUCUUGGCCUCAAAAAGGUCAGAAUAACGGUGGAUUCCAAAGACCAUCCAGGUUCCAGUUUGGAGGCACUGCAAACCAGACAUCUGGAUCCCAGACCCAGUCGUCAUACCAGCCUAGCACCACAACACAGGUUCAGACAGGCGAGUCUAUUGCCCAGCCUGAGUCGUUCGGAGCUUCAGCUUCAUAUCCAAGUCAAACCUCUGGCAUGUACUCUGUUGUACAGGGUCCUCUGAUUGCAUCCUCUUCCCAAAUGCCUGGGUUCCACAUCCAGUCAUCAUACCAGCCUGGCACCACAACACAGGUUCAGACAGGCCAGUCUGCGUCUACAUCUCAGGCUCAGUCCUCUGGUGCGUCAACGUUGUAUCAAGGGAUUAGCUCUGGCAGGUAUCUGACUUCACUGGGUCAUAUAAUUCCAUCCUCCUCCCAGUCUGUGGUCACUACAAACCAGACAUCUGGAUCCCAGACCCAGUCAUCAUACCAGCCUGGCACCACAACACUGCUUCAGACAGGCCAGUCUGCUUCUACAUCUCAGGCUCUUGGCAGCCAUGGAGCUGCACCUUCAGGACAUGCUAAAUGGUACACCAUUGUACAAGGUCAGACAAUUCCAUCUUCUCAAGCCUCUGGAUCCCAGACCCAGUCAUCAUACCAGCCUGGCACCACAACACAGGUUCAGACAGGCCAGUCUGCUUCUACAUCUCGGGCUCAGUCCUCUGGUGCAUCAACAUUGUAUCCAGGGAUUAGGAGGAAUGUGACUUCUCUGGGUCAUGGCUUUCCAUACUCAACCCAGUCUGUGGUGACCGCAAACCAGACAUCUGGAUCCCAGACCCAGUCAUCAUACCAGCCUAGCACUACAACACUGCUUCAGACAGCCCAGUCUGCUCCUACAUCUCAGGCUCAGUCCUCUGGUGCAUCAACAUUGUAUCAAGGAAUUAGGAGGAAUGUGACUUCUCUGGGUCAUGGCUUUCCAUACUCAACCCAGUCUGUGGUGACUGCAAACCAGACAUCUGGAGCCCAGACCCAGUCAUCAUACCAGCCUGGCACCACAACACUGCUUCAGACAGGCCAGUCUGCUUCUACAUCUCAGGCUCUUGGCAGCCAUGGAGCUGCACCUUCAGGACAUGCUAAAUGGUACACCAUUGUACAAGGUCAGACAAUUCCAUCUUCUCAAGCCUCUGGAUCCCAGACCCAGUCAUCAUACCAGCCUAGCACUACAACACUCCUUCAGACAGGCCAGCCUGUUCUUCCUCAGAGUCAGCCUUCGGGAGCUUCUGCUUCAUAUCCAAGUCAAACCUCUGGCGUGUACAAUAUUGCACAGCGUCCAUUGACUGCAACCCUUUCCGAAAUACCUGGGUUCCACAUCCAGUCAUCAUACCAGCCUGGCACUACAACACUGCUUCAGACAGGCCAGUCUGCGUCUACAUCUCAGGCUCAGUCCUCUGGCGCAUCAACAUUGUAUCAAGGAAUUAGGAGGAAUGUGACUUCUCUGGGUCAUGGCUUUCCAUACUCAACCCAGUCUGUGGUGACUGCAAACCAGACAUCUGGAUCCCAGACCCAGUCAUCAUACCAGCCUGGCACCACAACACUGCUUCAGACAGGCCAGUCUGCUUCUACAUCUCAGGCUCUUGGCAGCCAUGGAGCUGCACCUUCAGGACAUGCUAAAUGGUACACCAUUGUACAAGGUCAGACAAUUCCAUCUUCUCAAGCCUCUGGAUCCCAGACCCCGUCAUCAUACCAGCCUAGCACUACAACACUGCUUCAGACAGGCCUGUCUGCUUCUACAUCUCAGGCUCAGUCCUCUGGUGCCUCAACAUUCUAUCAAGGGAUUAGCUCUGGCAGGUAUCUGACUUCACUGGGUCAGAGCAUUCCAUCCUCCUCCCACUCUGUGGUCACUACAAACAAAAUCUCUGGAUUGCAGGACCAGUCAUUUCAGCCUGACACCACAACAAAUGCUUUGGUGGGUCAGUCUGCUUCUACAUCUUUGGCUCACGGCAACAUUCAGGCUCCAAAUUGGCAUACGAUAACUCCUCCUAGAUUCCAUAAUUUGCUACGGAACUUGUCGGUUUCUCAAUCUCUGAGCUCUGAUCCCCAAACAAGAACAAUCAACAAUAUUUUGCCGUUUCUGAACCAAAGUGCUGGGACUUCUGCCAUGUCUCAGAAUAAUGUACAGACCCCAGCAUUUCACACAUCUACACACUUCUCACCUGUCCCACAAACUGUUGCCACUCCCCCAGUCUCUCUACCCAAGCCUUGCCGACAGACACAAUGCUCAAUGGUGGAGAGUGCAAUUGCCUCUAUAGCAUCCAGCCAAACCUCUCCUCGUGUUGCCACAUCAUCUCAAGGCACAGGCUCUUUUGCUGCUGUACCCAUUCCAGGUACCUCACAGAAUUUUGCAGGCAUUGAUUUCCAGGGUACAUUGCCAGUACAUGACCAGUACAGCUCGGUGUGUAACUUUCCAUUUGGUUUCUGCAAUUCUCCUCAAGGAGCUGCAAACAACAAAUUUGUUCGAAGCCAGAGUGUACAGACACACAACCUGUGAACCAAGAAUUCAUGGGACACUUUCUGGAAUCAGUGCCUCAUCAGCAUUCUGUGUUCCACAAAGCUUUUCCAAUACACCUGAAAUUGUGAGCUCAGCCACUUACAGCUCCCCCCCAUUUCCCAACACCAGGCCCUCCUGACAAUCUCAACUGUAAGAUUAACUACUGAGUGCUUUGAUCGCUGACUGAAUAUGCUCAUUUGUGG